GGCCAUCGGCCAGGGCACGCAGCAAGCCGGCCUUUUGCGCCGGGGCAAGCCGCGAGGGAUCGAAGCCUUCGGCGGUCA
rnacentral:tRNA from 1 species